GCUGUCAAGUUGUCAAAAUUUUAAAUCACUUUGGAAAUCUAGAAAUUUAAUAUUAUGCACAGUGGCUUGAAAACUAACAAUAGAUGGGCAAAAACUUGUUAAUGCUAGAAAAUUAUAAACGAAGUGGUGAACUAAAGCUUAAGGUUUAAUUUCAAGGCAUAAUUAUUUUAAGACAAUUAAAACAAACCUGUUUAAUUUAUUCAUGAGAUAACGAAAGGAUCCACGCCAACAGCGGCAAUAGAAGUAAAAUCAAUAAAUAAACAACGUUAAUGCCUCGCAAAAAACCACCCUUCUAACUAACUCAUUCCUUCAGCAACCAAAAACUGAAAUAAUAUAAAGCCAAAGUAAAUGUAAAGAAAUGAUACAAGAGUUUCUUAAAAGUUCCUUUUUUUUGGUCAAAAGAAAAGUUUUGCCAAAAUUAAAAUAAAUAAUUCCACAAGCAUUUUAUGAUAAUUACAUGAAAAUUAAAAUAUGUUACGCUUCGUUCAAGGAGUAGAAGAAGGAAAGCCUCACCACAGCAGCUACCAAGAAAUAGUUAAUGUUAUCGCGGCUUUAGCAGUAGAAAAGUCAACAACAUUUAUAACAAUGACUUUUCAUUAGGAACAAAAAGAAAUACUAAAAUAUGAAAUGAAAGCAACCUGGCAGUUAUAAAAUCUUCAUAGAAAAGCCCCGUAGGAUGAAGACGACGGACAACUUACCUUAGCAACUUAUUUAACUCACUCAAAUGCAAACAACACAUUAUGGAAGGAGUAAUUUUAGUAGAAUGGAGUGGGGUGGUAGGGACUUAUGAGAGAUUAUGUUGGCAAAUGUUUAAGGGAUUUUACUAGAAUAACACCAACGCCUGAACGACAACACUAACAAAAGUAUGUAAUAACUUUUCAACAAGAGGCGUUGCCGCAGGACAUUUUUCUUGUGAUUGUUGUUGGAACAUUUUAAUUAGUUUCAUAUAAAAGAGUGUAAAAUUUAAAGCCUCAUUAAGGAGCACAGUAGCAGUAAUAAAGUGAGGAUUUUUCAC